AGGGAAUCUUCCGCAAUGGACGAAAGUCUGACGGAGCAACGCCGCGUGAGUGAUGAAGGUUUUCGGAUCGUAAAACUCUGUUGUUAGGGAAGAACAAGUGCCGUUCGAAUAGGGCGUUACCUUGACGGUACCUAACCAGAAAGCCACGGCUAACUACGUGCCAGCAGCCGCGGUAAUACGUAGGUGGCAAGCGUUGUCCGGAAUUAUUGGGCGUAAAGCGCGCGCAGGCGGUCCUUUAAGUCUGAUGUGAAAGCCCACGGCUCAACCGUGGAGGGUCAUUGGAAACUGGGGGACUUGAGUGCAGAAGAGAAGAGUGGAAUUCCACGUGUAGCGGUGAAAUGCGUAGAGAUGUGGAGGAACACCAGUGGCGAAGGCGACUCUUUGGUCUGUAACUGACGCUGAGGCGCGAAAGCGUGGGGAGCAAAC
rnacentral:rRNA from 1 species